rnacentral:rRNA from 1 species
GUUUGAUCAUGGCUCAGAUUGAACGCUGGCGGCAGGCCUAACACAUGCAAGUCGAGCGGUAGCACAGAGAGCUUGCUCUCGGGUGACGAGCGGCGGACGGGUGAGUAAUGUCUGGGAAACUGCCUGAUGGAGGGGGAUAACUACUGGAAACGGUAGCUAAUACCGCAUAAUGUCGCAAGACCAAAGUGGGGGACCUUCGGGCCUCAUGCCAUCAGAUGUGCCCAGAUGGGAUUAGCUAGUAGGUGGGGUAACGGCUCACCUAGGCGACGAUCCCUAGCUGGUCUGAGAGGAUGACCAGCCACACUGGAACUGAGACACGGUCCAGACUCCUACGGGAGGCAGCAGUGGGGAAUAUUGCACAAUGGGCGCAAGCCUGAUGCAGCCAUGCCGCGUGUGUGAAGAAGGCCUUCGGGUUGUAAAGCACUUUCAGCGGGGAGGAAGGCGGUGAGGUUAAUAACCUCAUCGAUUGACGUUACCCGCAGAAGAAGCACCGGCUAACUCCGUGCCAGCAGCCGCGGUAAUACGGAGGGUGCAAGCGUUAAUCGGAAUUACUGGGCGUAAAGCGCACGCAGGCGGUCUGUCAAGUCGGAUGUGAAAUCCCCGGGCUUAACCUGGGAACUGCAUUCGAAACUGGCAGGCUAGAGUCUUGUAGAGGGGGGUAGAAUUCCAGGUGUAGCGGUGAAAUGCGUAGAGAUCUGGAGGAAUACCGGUGGCGAAGGCGGCCCCCUGGACAAAGACUGACGCUCAGGUGCGAAAGCGUGGGGAGCAAACAGGAUUAGAUACCCUGGUAGUCCACGCCGUAAACGAUGUCGAUUUGGAGGUUGUGCCCUUGAGGCGUGGCUUCCGGAGCUAACGCGUUAAAUCGACCGCCUGGGGAGUACGGCCGCAAGGUUAAAACUCAAAUGAAUUGACGGGGGCCCGCACAAGCGGUGGAGCAUGUGGUUUAAUUCGAUGCAACGCGAAGAACCUUACCUGGUCUUGACAUCCACAGAACUUUCCAGAGAUGGAUUGGUGCCUUCGGGAACUGUGAGACAGGUGCUGCAUGGCUGUCGUCAGCUCGUGUUGUGAAAUGUUGGGUUAAGUCCCGCAACGAGCGCAACCCUUAUCCUUUGUUGCCAGCGGUUAGGCCGGGAACUCAAAGGAGACUGCCAGUGAUAAACUGGAGGAAGGUGGGGAUGACGUCAAGUCAUCAUGGCCCUUACGACCAGGGCUACACACGUGCUACAAUGGCAUAUACAAAGAGAAGCGACCUCGCGAGAGCAAGCGGACCUCAUAAAGUAUGUCGUAGUCCGGAUUGGAGUCUGCAACUCGACUCCAUGAAGUCGGAAUCGCUAGUAAUCGUAGAUCAGAAUGCUACGGUGAAUACGUUCCCGGGCCUUGUACACACCGCCCGUCACACCAUGGGAGUGGGUUGCAAAAGAAGUAGGUAGCUUAACCUUCGGGAGGGCGCUUACCACUUUGUGAUUCAUGACUGGGGUGAAGUCGUAACAAGGUAACCGUAGGGGAACCUGCGGUUGGAUCACCUCCUU